AUGUUUCUCCCAGGAGAAGACUCCAGAUGCUGCCAUCUCACCACACCCUUCUGUAGACUGAAUCUGGUAGUUUGGGACACAGAGAGGCAGUCUGUGGAUACAGGAGUGACUUUGAAGACAGCUGGCACUGAGGCUGGAAUGAAGACAGAGAAAUGAGUUUUUCCCAUGGUACUCAUUGGCCAUUGCUUCUCUCUGAUUUGAGGUCAGAAAAAUUUCCCUUUAAAAAUGUCGCUUUAAGAAACAGUGGAAUUUGAUGGGGUAUGUAAAAUUUAUUUU
rnacentral:lncRNA from 1 species